rnacentral:rRNA from 1 species
UACGUAGGGCGCAAGCGUUGUCCGGAUUUAUUGGGCGUAAAGAGCUCGUAGGCGGUUUGUCGCGUCUUCCGUGAAAACUGGGGGCUUAACUUCCAGCUUGCGGUGGAUACGGGCUGACUGGAGUGCGGCAGGGGAGACUGGAAUUCCUGGUGUAGCGGUGAAAUGCGCAGAUAUCAGGAAGAACACCCGUGGCUAAGGCGGCUCGCUGGGCCAUUCCUGACGCUGAGACGCGAAAGCUAGGGGAGCGAACAGG